rnacentral:rRNA from 1 species
CCCUUAGAUGUUCUGGGCCGCACACGCGCUACACUGAAGGAGGCAGCGUGUACUCCUGGAUCGAAAGAUUUGGGUAACCCGCGAAUCUCCUUCGUGCUAGGGAUUGAGGUUUGCAAUUAUCCUUCAUGAACGAGGAAUUCCCAGUAAGUGCAAGUCAUAAGCUUGCGCUGACUACGUCCCUGCCUUUUGUACACACCGCCCGUCGCUACUACCGAUUGAAUGAUUUAGUGAGGACUUCGGACUGGGACCGAUGCGGCUUUCGGGCUGCGUCGGUAUUCUGGAAAGAUGUCCAAACUGUAUCAUUUAGAGGAAGUAAAAGUCGUAACA